rnacentral:lncRNA from 1 species
AUUAGUGUGCAAACUUUUCACUAAUGAUCAUUCUUUUUCCUAUAUUCUUCAUUCUUUUCAGAAUCAAUUGUAAACAUCUUCACUAAGAGCUGAAAUACAUUCCUGGGAACAUGAGUUUGACAGAAGUGUUUCUUUAUAUUUUGUACUCAAAGCCAAAGCAUCUGGCACCAAUUUCCUUAGACCUUUCUCAGUUUCAAACCUACCAUCCGACUCUCUGCAUACCUUGAGAUCUCAGUUGAAUCUUUGCCUCCAGAGUCCUGAGGACAAAAGGAUAACAAACUGGAAAGAACCGAAUAGUAAUGAUUUUGGUCCAUGAAAACCCCCAGGACUUCAGUGUAUCCAUAGCAAGGCAACUAGCAAUGGCUACAACAAAGUUGAAAUGCUUAAUUUCACAAUUUUGUAGGAAAUGCUGUGAAAGUUUUGAAAGUGUCAAGAAUAAAAAAUAUGAAUUGGAAAGAAUUUUUCCAUAAAGCUACAAUCAGUACUUUCGUUAGGAGCUCGGGCAACAUGGCUGCCCUGGAUACUGUGGAACUUGUGAGGCUAACCAGUAGAUUCCAUCACUAGAGAACGUCAUCACUUAAAUGUCUACAGCAGUGUAUCCGUUUCAUCAAGCAAGGAUUAAUAUCUGCCACUCAUGGAAAACUCAAAAUAUCACUUGUAACUGGAAGAUAAACUUGCAGUUUGUGCAUAGCAUGAAGUCAGUAGAUCUUCAUAAACUGUAGACAUUGCAACUACUCAGCAUUAUUGUUCUAGUAAUGGUACUGGAGUGUUUCUUGGACAGCCAUUUUUGAUACCUUUUGAUUAUAUGGUAGGUGAUUUUCUCAUCUUAUUACUUUAAAAGAGAAAGGUAACAAAUGAUAUCUAGGCGAGUCCCAUUUAGCAUAUUGUUCACUGUUUUGUUCAGAGAAUAAAUGUUUUUUACUAGUCCAUGUUUGCAGUGCAUCAUGUUGACACUCCUCAUGCGGAGUUGGCUGGCCCAUGUGCACAACACACCUCAGUUCCUUCUCACCCCCUUUCCCUCCUCCUCCCAUCUCUCCAUUCCCUUUUCUUUCCAAAAAGAUUUAUCUUUAGACUUCCUAUCAUCUUUUUUACUUUGUUCUUUAUUUAUAUUUUGGUUUAUCACUAUGGAAAUCAGUAUGAAGAUUACUAAAAAAAUGAAAACUUAAAUUCCAC